UGGGGAAUUUUGGACAAUGGGCGAAAGCCUGAUCCAGCAAUGCCGCGUGUGUGAAGAAGGCCUUCGGGUUGUAAAGCACUUUUGUCCGGAAAGAAAUCCUUGGCUCUAAUACAGUCGGGGGAUGACGGUACCGGAAGAAUAAGCACCGGCUAACUACGUGCCAGCAGCCGCGGUAAUACGUAGGGUGCAAGCGUUAAUCGGAAUUACUGGGCGUAAAGCGUGCGCAGGCGGUUUGCUAAGACCGAUGUGAAAUCCCCGGGCUCAACCUGGGAACUGCAUUGGUGACUGGCAGGCUAGAGUAUGGCAGAGGGGGGUUAGAAUUCCACGUGUAGCAGUGAAAUGCGUAGAGAUGUGGAGGAAUACCGAUGGCGAAGGCAGCCCCCUGGGCCAAUACUGACGCUCAUGCACGAAAGCGUGGGGAGCAAACAGGAUUAGAUACCCUGGUAGUCCACGCCCUAAACGAUGUCAACUAGUUGUUGGGGAUUCAUUUCCUUAGUAACGUAGCUAACGCGUGAAGUUGACCGCCU
rnacentral:rRNA from 1 species